rnacentral:tRNA from 1 species
GGGGCGUUCGCUCAGUUGGAAGAGCACUCGGCUACGGACCGAGACACGGCGGGGGUUCGAGUCCCUCACGCCCCA